rnacentral:tRNA from 1 species
GGUCAGGUAGCUCAGUCGGUAGAGCACCGCACUGAAAAUGCGGGUGUCGGCAGUUCGAUUCUGCCCCUGACCA